UGGUUGAGGGGGUGGUGUUGGCUUUGGGUGUUUGGGUUUUCGGAUUGGAAGCCAUGGCAGAUUCUGGCAUAGCUUCAAACAACAAGUAUUCACCAACAAUUCACACAAUAACACAUCCCAACGGUUCAAAGGUAACCACACAUGUUAUACAGAACAUAUACAAAAAUCAGCACAAGUUAACGGUUGGAUCUCCACUGAUCUCCAAUAUACCGAAACUAACCUGAUAUUGACGACCUUCUGUUAAACAUGUAGAAAACGUUGCUGGAGGAUUUAUUUCUAAUCUCCACCGUUCAGACUGUGUAUCACAACCAGGUGCAUCAUAUAUCCAAAACUAAGCUUGAUCCAACGGUAGAUAAAACAGAAAUAGGCCGGCGGCUCUGACUGUUCCGAGAGGGAUUUUUCCAUAAAUCUUCAAAUGGAUAGAUUUCGCAGGCAAAAUCACAUAUGAACGAUCCCUCUGGUCAAAAUGUAGGUAACAUAGAGGCGCACAACAUACCCGAAAAUAGGGUUGAUCCAACGGUAGAUCAAGGAGAAAUCGGCCGGCGACUCUGACAGGUCUAGGGGGGUUUCCAGACAAUUUCAAACGGUCAGAUGUCUUAAACGGUGGCAGAAUUGGACGAUCCCUCCGGUCAGAAUGUAGACAAUAGUGAGGUGCACAACAUAACCAAAUCUUGGCCUGAUCCAACGGUGGUCGCCAGAGAUAUGGCUGUCGGAGCACCGCCCCUUUAUGUCUUUCCUCUCUAACCUCUCUCUAGUUUCCUCUCUCUAUAAGAACACAAAUGAACCCCCCUAAAACCCUAAAUCCUAAUCCCUAGACUCUAAACCCUAAACCCUAUACCCCUAUACCGCUAACCCCUAACACCCUAGAGCGUUAACCCUAAUGCCUAAACCCUAAACCCUAAACCCUAAACCCUAAACCCUAAACCCUAAACCCUAAACCCUAAACCCUAAACCCUAAACCCUAAACCCUAAACCCUAAACCCUAAACCCUAAACCCUAAAACCCUAAACCCUAAACCCUAAACCCUAAACCCUAAAUCCUAAACCCUAAACCCGAAACCCGAAACCCUAAACCCGAAACCCGAAACCCCAAACCCCAAACCCCAAACCCCAAACCCCAAACCCCUAAACCCCAAACCCUAAACCCUAAAACCCCUAAAACCCUAAACCCUAAACCCUAAACCCUAAACCCUAAACCCUAAACCCUAAACCCUAAACUUUUUUUGGAAAAGUUAAGAUGUAUAUAAUGAAAUGAAAAUUCACUACAUAAUUACGAGGGGCAUACCCCAAGGGAAUUACACAGCAAAUUGAAUAAAAUAAAAAACAUAAAGAGGCCGUUACAAUAGCGAAUGGUUAAUAAGAAAAGAUGGAAUAAGUUUAUGCAUGGCCUCUGCGUGAACAGUGUCAACCAUGCAUAAAGCAAAUAAUGAUCUUCACUGGCAAGCAAAUGGAGAAACAAAAACCAUGCAUCUCCACGUGAACAGUGAGAAAUAGUGGCAAUGUAAUUAAUUUGCCCCUAAAUUCCAUUCCACAGCAUAGCGUUGCCUAUAGCGAUCGUUGUUUCAAAAUAGCAAUUUUGCAAGUUCCCCAACAUCAACUGGUUCGUUUCUUCUGCGACUUGUGUUGCAUAAUACAUUCCAUGGUUCUGUAUUAGGCAGUAUGGUAAUCCUUCAUGAUACCCUAUAUGUUGCAGAUAGCAGUAGGUAUGGCUCCUGAAAAUUGCAUAGUUGUUAGUUGUGUUCUAACUUGUUGGAACACUUCCUCAGCUAUGUUUGUUGCAGUUAAGUAUUGGUUGUUGAAGAUUCUCUUGUUGUGUUCAAACCAAAGCAAGUAUACUGUGGCUGAGAGCAAAAAACGCGCAAUAAGGUGCGUUAUAUCAUCCUUGCGGUAGUAGUUUGCGGAACCCCAUUGUAGUAUAUUCGGCCAAGUGCAGCAUGGCCAAUAAAUAUUUGCUCUUGCAUUAACUGUUCGCCAGACAGUUUUAGAGGUUGGGCAUUCAAAGAAUAAAUGUGCAUGAGUCUCUGUGUGGAGUCCACAUAAGAUGCAUGUUCUAUUUCUUAUAAUCUCAGCCGAAUGUAAACGAUCCAUAGUGCGCAACCUCCCAAGACCAGCCAACCAAAGGAUGAAAGAUUGUCGUGGGAUGUGACCUUUGAACCAUAACAAUAAGUGGAUGUUGUUGAGAGGUCUUUUGUCCCGAAGAAGGUCCCAUGCUGAUCUAAUGCUGAAGUUCCCUGUUGAAUUACCUUUCCAAACACAGUGGUCUUCAAGCUGCGGCUUUGGGUGGAAUACAAUUGAUUGCCAGCUUGCAUGCAACCCUGUGAUAUGCAUGGGAAAGUUCCAGUGCCCUUCAUUGAUAAUGCUUGAGACUCGGGCGUUCCAUGGUAAUCCUGUGGCAGUAAGAGUCCUUAAUGUGUGCAUGUCGAUGAAUCUCUUCCCCUCAGGCAACCAAUAGUCAUACCACAAAAAUGUUGAGGAACCAUUGCCUAUGUUAACUGUAAACCAGCCUCUGCACCAGUCACGACUUUGCAGUAGUUUUCUCCAAGUCCAGGAUGGAUUGGAUGGCAUAGGAACCUGCCAGAAUGAUUUUCCACGUAAUAGAAAUGCAUGAAUCUAGGAUGUCCAUACAGUGUCUUUAUUUGUUAGAAGAUUCCAAAUAUGUUUGAGUGUUGCAGCUUGGUUCCAAGUUUUUAGCCGUUUGACACCUAACCCUCCUUCUUGCUCCGGGUAGCAGAUGGCGUGCCAUGCGACCUUUGCUCCUGCCGAUGAUAGGGAUGUUCCUCUCCAUAAGAAAGCUGCCAAGAUGCUUUCUAUUUUAUUAAUGGUUGCACAUGGAAGAAUGAAUAUUGAGGACCAGUAUACUUGGAUGGAGAAUAUAACAGAUUUUAUGAGCUGCAAUCUGCCAACAUAUGUGAGAGAUGAAGAUGUCCAUAGCUUGAUUCUUGCGAUGAUUCUUUCCACUAGAGGAAUGCAAUCUGUAUGUGUAAGGCGGGUGGAAAUGAGUGGGACUCCUAGGUAUCUCACCGGCAAAUUUGUUUCCUGGAUUCCUAUUAUGUCCGCAAUGCAGCUUCUCAAACUAGCAUCAAUGCCAGAUAGAUAGAGGGAACUUUUGGCAAGAUUAAUAUGCAGACCCGAAAGUGAUGAAAAUCUAUCUAAACUAGAUUUGAGCACACUGAUAGAGUCAACAUCCGCAUGGCAAAACAUCAUGAGAUCAUCUGCAAAACAAAGAUGAGUUAUAUUUGUGGACUUGCACCGCCAAUGGUACUGGAAGUUGCUGUUAUUGAUUGUCUGUCGAAGAACACCACUCAAGCCUUCCAUUGCUAAGACAAAGAGGUAAGGUGACAGUGGAUCACCUUGCCGAAUGCCUCUAGUUGACUGGAAGAAACCAUGCAGUUCACCAUUGAUGUUGAUUGUGUAAUGAACCGUUGUAAUGCAUGUUUUAAUCCAGCUGAUCAAGUUAGGAGGGAGAGCAAUAGCUUGUAGUCCUGCAAGGAUGAAUUCGAGGCUGACAGUAUCAAAGGCCUUCUUCAAGUCGAUUUUGAGAGCACACCUGGCAGGGCCUGUUUUGUGAUGGUAAUUAUGCAUGAGUUCUUGAGUGAGGAGAAUUGCAUCUGAAAUGCUUCGGCCAGGCAGAAAUGCUGACUGUGAGGAUCCUAUGACAUCGGCUAGAGCUGACUUUAACCUGGUAACAAGUAAUUUGGCGAUGCAUUUGUAGAUAACAUUACAGCAUGAGAUUGGCCUGAAAUCAUUCAAGCAUGUUGGAUGUUCCUGCUUUGGCACCAGUGCUACCCUUGUAGCAUUGACACACCGGGUUAGCUUGUUAUGAGAAAAAAAAUACCUGAUAGCUGCAGUGAAGUCAUCUUUGAUGAUAUCCCAGCUUUUCUUGAAGAAAAGCGCAUUAUAUCCAUCUGGCCCUGGUGCUUUGUUGUCUGCGAUGGAGAAUAAAGCUGUUUUGAUAUCAUCAUUAGUGAUUGGAGCAGCGGCCACAGCUUUAGAAUCUUCUGAGAUGGUAGUGGGGAAUAUGGCAUGCAUGUCUUCAAGGAUUGGGGAAUUAGGGCCAUAUAGCAGGCGUUCAAAAUAAGUUGAGGCUAGCUUUCCUAUUUCUUGUUGAUCAUGAAUAAUAUUACCUGCAUCAUCUUGCAAGUUAUGAAUACGAUUUCUGACCUGGCGGUGCAACAAUGAUUUAUGGAAGAAAGACGUGUUCCUAUCACCAAGAGCAAGCCAUUGGACUCUUGAUUUUUGCUUGAAAUAUGAUUCCUCAGCUUUACACAGUUGCAUGUAGGCAGCAGCAUGUGCACGUUCAGUGGCUUUGGCAUCCUCAGAAUCAGGGUGGCUAUCAAGAGCAAUUUGGGCGGCAUCCCAUGAUGCUUUAGCUUGAGUGACUCUGCUGGUAAUAUGGUCCGUGUGCUGAUAGUGAAGAUUUUUCAGGCCAGGCUUCAAGCGGCGCAAUUUAGAAGUAAGUUGAAACAUGGGGUUGCCAGUGAUGGGCAUGUGCCAUAAGGAGGCUACAAUAGAUAGGAAGUCACUGUGGUCCGCCCAUAUAUUCAAGAAUUUGAAUGAAGAGUGCCUAUGAUUGGUGGGCUGAAGAAAUCUGAGGACCAUAGAACUGUGAUCCGAGAUGCUACGCGGCUGAAAAUUUGCAUGUGUGGCAGGCCAUUUAGAGAACAUGCAUGCAUUACCAAAUAUCCAGUCUAGUUUCUUUUGGAUUAAACCGGUGCCCUGUUGUCCAUUAUGCCAGGAGAAUUUGAUGCCAGUGUAAGGGACUUGCAAAAGCUCAGAAUGGCUAAUACAUUUGUUGAAAUCAUCUUGAUAGGAGGGCCAGUGGAUAUCCCUACCAGAACGGUCACCAGGUUGCAGAAUUGCAUUAAAGUCUCCCAUUACAAUCCAUGGGAUACAAGCAUUGUGAGAACUCUCCUGUGUAAUGUAUUGCCAUAAAGUUUGCCUUUCGGCAGGUGUGUUGUGGCUAUAGACAAAGAUGAUACGGACAGGGGUUGGUUGGUUUGGUUGGGUAGCUUCACAUGUGAGCCAUUGGGAGGAGGUUUGUAAUAUGGUAAGGUGUAGUUUAUGAGUAUUCCAUCCAACAAGGAUUCGGCAAGUUGGGGAGGAUGUUGUGUUUGAAAUGUAUUUCCAGUGAGAAGGGGCAAGUCUUGGUUCAAUGGAUGCUAAGUUUGCAGCAUCUAUUUUAGUUUCCAAAAGGCCAAUGAUGUCAAGGUUGUUUUUUUGUGUCCAUUCAUGGACGGUUUUUUGUUUUUUGAGGCCAUUGAGACCCCAUAUGUUCCAGCUUCCAACUAUAAACAUUUAUUCAGAAAAAUAUGGUAAUGGGGCUAAUGGCCUUUGGCCUCUUUUUUCUUCUUCCCUCCCUUCUUUUUCCUCACUGUUUGUGGGGAAGGAGAUGGGGAAUGAAGCAUAUCAGGGGGUUCAGAGACAGGGGAGGUGCCAACCGAAUUCUCCAAAGCAGCAGAGGAAGCUGCACUAACAGUUCUUAAAGAAUCCAUUUUACUUUCUAAACAAGUACUAGGAUUAAGAAAUUGAAUAUGGUGAGGAUGAGGUUCUGGAUAUUCAGUACCUGAAUCAUGGCUGGAAUCGCUUGCUUCCAGUGCUUGGGGAUCAUCUAUAGGCAACUGGACUAAAGGCAGAGGUGGGGGCUGUGGUUGAAGUUGGGAUGAAGAUUGUGAAUGUGUUACUGGGGGUAUAUUUGUGGACAGUGGUGGUAAUGGGGAGGCAGGGUGUGGUAUGUCUUGGAUGGUUGUGGUAGUGUUGUGUAGUAUGGUAGGGGAUGUGGUAGGGGAUGUAGUAGGCAUGGCUGUGAUUUGUGGUGAAGGUGCAAUAGUAGUGGAGGAUUUGCACGAGUGGCCAAAUAAUUUGCAUUGCUCACAACGGGUUGGUUUCCAUUCAUAAUCUACUGUCACUGUAAUAGGAUCUGCAGAGAGAGGGCAAUCAAUUGCAAAGCUGUGAACAAAAGGGAGGGAUGCAUCAAUUUCAACACAGAGGCGUGCAUAUUCAAGUCUAGUGCAAUUAUAUGUGAGUUCAUCACAUGAUAAUGGCCUGCCAACCAUACUUGCUGCUAAACUCAAUCCCUGUUUGGACCACAAAGGAAAGGGGAGACCAUGAAGCCGAAUCCACACUGGAAGGGUUGAAAUUUUGCUUUUGUCAAAGUUGUAUCGUGGGUGCCAUUGUUGAAGAAUAAUGUUCUUCCCACCAAACAUCCAUGGCCCUUUGUCAAGGACAACAUGCAUCUCUUCUUCGGACUUAAAUCGAAAGAUCAUGAAACCAUUACCUGUAGUCAUAACAUUCUCAAGGCCACACUGUCGCCAUACCCUAGAAGCAAUGGCAUUAACUGCAUGAUAUGGCAUUUUGAACCCUGGAAAAAAGCCAAUCAUACAUCUUGUCCAUUGUUCAGUGUUUUCCAAUAGCAUUUGUUCUGUAAUCUUGAGGCACUGCCCCACUGGUUGUCUUGGAAUAGGAUCUAAAGUGAAUCGGGUACUGGAGUCAGAAACUCUAACACGAUCUGCCCAUGAGGUUAGGCCAGCUUGGGACGUAGCCUUAUUAUGGGUUUUUUGUGGUUUCAAAGCUGGUUUGGUAGGCGGCUGAGAUAGUGUAGGUGGGAUAGUAGUAGUGGAAGGAAUGGUUGGUGGCUGAGACAUGGUGGCUGUGUAGGUUUUGUUUGCAGGGAUAAAGGAGGCCGGUGAAAAAAAAGAUGAUGAUUGUAUGUUGGAUUUUUAGUCGGUGAAAGUAUAGUCCAGUAGUAAAGGAAUAAGGGGAGGAUGUGAUCGGUGAAGAAUAAGGUGAACGGUGAUCAGAGGAGAUAGUUUGGCCGGUGGGGUAGAGUUCCUUCUUCCAAUCGCCUGUAGCAGCGGGGUUAAUUUUUCGCAACUAAACUUAACCCAAUGCGGCAGUCUAGCCCCAACUAGACUCAGCCUUGCCUCACCCUUUCACUCGUGUUUUCCUACGACUAUGUGUUUCGCUCACUCAAGGAGGUUCUCACACUAGCCUCGUCGUAGACAACAAGUAAACACAAGCAACACAAGCACACAAGAGUUUUACAAGAAUCCCUCUCAACCUUUAUUUAUCUCGUCAACAAAGGAAUACACAAAAAUGGUGUGUGCUAUGCACCAUUUUUCCCUCCCUAAACCCUAAACCCCUAAACCCUAAACCCUAAACCCUAAACCCUAAACCCCUAAACCCUAAACCCUAAACCCGAAACCCGAAACCCGAAACCCAAAACCCCAAACCCCAAACCCCAAACCCUAAAAACCUUAAACCCUAAACCCUAAACCCCAAAAACGCUAAAAACGCUAAACCCUAAACCGUAAACCCUAAACCCUAAAAACCCUAAACCCUCAACCCUUAACCUUAAACCCUAAAAACCGUAAAAACCCUAAACCCUAAACCCUAAACCCUAAACCCCAAAACCAAACCCCAAACCCCAAACCCCAAAACCGAAACCGAAACCCCAAACCCCAAACCCAAACCCCAACCCCAAACCCAAACCCGAAACCCAAACCUGAAACCCAAACCCGAAACCCUAAAACCCGAAACCUGAAACCCCGAAACCCUAAACCCUAAACCCAAACCCCAAACCCCAAACCCCAAACCCUAAACCCCAAACCCCAAACCCUAAACCCUAAACCUUUUUUGGAUAAAUUUAAGUUGUAUAGAAAAGGGAAAAAUAUACAUAGAUUCGAGGGGCAUACCCCAAGAUAGAAAAAGCUAUCCAAAAGCAGAAAAUGAAAAUUUAACGAAAGGAUGCCAGCAUGCAUCCACGAAAGAGAAAAAAAUUACAUGGAGAAAAAAACAAAGCCUGCAUGGCUUCUACGUGAACAGGAAACUAAGCGGGAAAAAUUACAAAUCACGUAAGGAUACCCUUUCUUUUAUUGUUGUUAAUUUCUCGGCCAUUAGUAUUCAUGUGGCUGUGGGGGGCCGCAUCAUAGCAGGUUGCAUGUCUUCGGCUUCUUGAAGUCCCCAGAUGCUUUUGAGGUUGUUUGGGAUUUUCCUUUAAUCCUUCUCCAUCAAGACUGAUCGGAUGGUUUCAAUGAUUUCCCCACUUAGAACCUGCGGAGUCUUGGAAGCUUGGUUGAAAAUUCUGUUGUUUCUCUCAUACCAUACAAAGUAGACAGUUGAGGAUAAGAUUUGCCUUGCUAGGAGAUGUGAGAACACCUUGUUGUCCCUCAAACUUGUUGCAGCCCAAAGAAGUAAACCAUGCCAGGACAUACUUGGCCAGUUUAUGAGACUUUUUUCACUGAGAGUGUUCCACACCAUGGCGGAGUAGCUACAUUCAAAAAAUAGGUGAUCAUGCGUUUCAUCAUGCAAUCCACAUAAUGAACAUGUGGCAGACGAGAUGACCUGGAAAGAGAGUAGCCUAUCCUUUUAUGCAAACGCCUCAUUGAUGCGAUCCAAAGAAUAAAUGCAUGCCGAGGGAUAUGAUCUGGAAACCAGAUGAGGUGGAAGCUGGAGUUGAUAGGUCUUUUAUCUCUUAGUAAUUCCCAUGCAGAGUCGAUUGAAAACUUUCCUGAGUGAAGUCCCUUCCAGUUGCAAAUGUCUGGUUGAUGAGGCUGAGGGAAGAACUGGAUAGAGUUCCAGAUUAGCUGAAGUUCCGGUUGACCACCUGGAAAUGUCCAUCUGCCUUCUGAGAUUAUAGACGAAACCUUUGCAUCACAUGUUAAACCAGUUUUGGAUAACUGACGGAAUGGAAGAAUGUCACAAAUUCGUUUCCCAUUUGGCAACCAGUAAUCUAGCCAAAGAAAAGUUUGCAAACCAUUUCCUAUCUUUGGAGAAAAUAGACCUCUGCACCAACUUCUGCUAAGGAGGAUCUUCCGCCAAGACCAAGAAGCAUUUGAUGGGGCAUUAUAGAACCAGAAACAGCGCCCUCUUAGCAGGACUGAGUGCACCUAAGAAACCCAAACCAAUGUUUUUUCUGUAAGCAGUCGCCAGAUGUGUUUUAAGAUGGCAGCCUUGUUCCAAAUUUUGAUCUUCUUUAUCCCCAAGCCCCCCUCCUUGAGAGGAUAGCAUAACGAAUCCCACGCCACUUUUGCUCCUGAAGAUGUAAGAGAUGUACCCUUCCAGAGAAAGGCUGCUAAGGUGCUCUCAAUUUUCCUUAUAAUUGAACAAGGAAGCAUGAACAUACUUGACCAAUAAACUUGAAUAGAGAACAGUGUGGAUUUAAUAAGUUGAAGCCGACCAGCAUAGGAAAGGGAGGCUGCAGUCCAAAGCUUAAUUCUGGUGAUGAUCCUUUCUAACAGUGGCAUGCAGUGUUGAUGAGUUAACCUGGAGCUAAUCAAUGGAACGCCAAGAUAUUUCACUGGGAGAGUCCCUGGCUUGAAUCCAAAACAGUUUGUAAUUGCAGCCUUAAUAUCCUGCUUGACCUCCGAAAGAAACACAAGACUUUUGGCAUGGUUGAUGGUUAAACCAGAGAUAUUUGAGAAUGAGUCCAAAGCAUUUCGAACACAUUGAACUGAGAUCAAGUCUGCACAGCAGAAUAUCAUGAGGCCGUCUGCAAAACACAUGUCGCGGGUGCGCGGCGUCGCGGCGAGUAUUCCACUUUUUAAAUCUAGGAAGUGUGUAUGGUAUCUAUCUGGCAAAUGUGGGGAGACAAGAAAAUAUUGUCUUUUGUUGGUAGAAAAUGGAAUGGGAGUCGCCACCUAGUAUUUUGGUCACUAGGAACCCUAACUGGUCUCAGAGAUUGGGUACGGGGACUGGUUGCAUAAAGGGAAGGUAUUAGCACCCCAAAUACGCCCUACCUAAGGUAAGCUGCAUUGUUUAUUUGUCUGAUAAAAUUCAAGGUCUCGUUGUGUUUCCUAGUUGUUGGUCCAUCUAUGGUUCAAGAAAAGUCCUCCUCAAUAAGGAGGUCCUUAUCUUAUCGGGUAAAACCUAACCGUUAUAACGUCUAUGUAAAAAAACCAUAUUUUUAAUAUCAGGAAUACGUUUUACGUAUAAAUUCGUAAUCCCAAAUACUAAAAGAAGACAAAAAGAUUUUUUUAGAAUUUUUGAAAUAUUGGCCUAGUUCUCAUGGCUUGAAUAAACUGGUUAUUAAAGCCAAAAUGCAUGUUAAUACAUAUAUUGUUUUGAAACUUCCUUUGUUGUAUGAAAAUAUGAUGUUAUAAUAUAUAUAUAUAUAUAUAUAUAUAUAUAUAUAUAUAUAUAUAUAUAUAUUGGAGAGACUAGGCCGUAUGCAUGAAAACAAAAUAUUUUUUUUAUGUCUUGACGAAAACCGGGUAUUUUAAUACCGGAUUUGUAUCUUUACAGUAUAAAAAUACAAACCGAUAUUGAUCAAAAUACAGUAAUAAAAUUACAACAAAAUCACAUAUUUUUUGAAAUAAUUUUCGAAGAAAUUAAUUAAUUUUUCUAUAUAUAUAUCUAGAUAUAAAUAAUACAAAACACAAUAUAAUAUACAUAACAUAUAAUAUAUAAUUGGGCUGGGCUGGGCCGGCCCAACGAACUGGGCCGGACUCAGCCCCAAAAUGUGUUGGGUCGAUCCUGGCCCAACAAAAAUCUGGUAUUUCUCUUCUGGGCCAGACCCGACCCGGAAGGCAGAGCUGGGCCAGGAUCAGCCUGGCCCAGCAACAAAACUAACUGGGCCAGAACGAGUCUGGCCCAGCACAAGAAACCAACGGGGGGAAUUAUUUUCCCCCCAUCCUCCUGCAUGCAGACCGAAUGUUCUGCAUGCAGAAGGAAACGCAAGUGGCGAAAAUAAAAUGAGGGGGGAAGGAAAGUUUACCUGGCGCGGAAGAGGCGGUGUGUUGCUGGUAUGUCGGCGGUGCUGCGGUGGAGGCUGGUGGCUGCACUUGUCCCGGCUGGAAGAAGAAGGAGCAGAUUCCUGCAGAGGAGAAGGAAAGCUCUCGGCUGUCGGCUGGAGCUGUUGGUGUGACUGAGGAAGGAACUGCUACUCCGGUUGCUGCUGGGCGUCGCUGGAGGAAGGAGGACUGCUGUUGGCCGGUGAAGAAGCUGGAAGGCGGAGGCUUGCUCCUGUGGAGGCUGUCGCUGCUGAGGAGAUGAUGGGGACGGCUCUGUGGUGGAGGAACUCGGCUGCUGUUAUGGGGUUCUCCAGGUGUGGCUGGCGGCUGGAAGAGAAAUGGGGCUGUUGUGAUUUGGCCGGGUAGGGAGGCCGAUGGAAGGGAACAGCUGGGAUGGAGAGGGACGUCACUGCUGUUGUUCAGCCGCUGCUGGGGCCGAAUGGAAGAGAGACCUGGCGAUGGAAAAUGAGAGAGUGAGGGGAUCCUGUUCUGUCAAAGAGAGGGGCGAGUGAAAGGGAGAUGGGGGAAUGCAGAGGAGGCUGCUCUGGUUUGGGAAAAGAAGCUGGAAAUGAGGGCUGGUUGCAGGGAAAAAACGGGCAGGAAAAGCUUAUUUUGUGCCAAUUUUGAGCUCCCCUUUUGCUAACCCCAUGAGCAUGAAAAUUGAUCCUAUUUAUAGGGCCGGAAAGAGGGUAAUCUUGUCUUCAAUCAGAAAAACAUCCCAGCCCUUGAUUCGACUUGAGUGAUUCAAACCGUUGGUUCAAAGUGUGCACCUCGAACUGCCAAAUUUGCAGACUGCCCGAGGUGCACAAUUUGGGCCAAAAAACGGAGCCGUUCCAAACCUUUUUGACCCGACCGGACCACUCCCCAGGAUAAAUGGGUUCCAGGUGGACAUGUUGGUGCAUGCUUUGUCGGAUUUGGGGGCCAAACGAGGCAGAAAACACGCCUGGAAGUCGGCCACUCGGGCAGCUCGGUGGGGAAGAAAAUGAACAGUACCGGGCGACGCGUCGCCUGGUUCCUGCCCCUUCUUCUUUUUUUUUUUUUUUAAACAUGCAAAACGGUGCCGUUUUGAUAAAAAUAGGGAUUUUUUGCCAAUUUUCAAUUUAGUCCUCCGACUUUCAAUUUCGUUCAAUAUUAUUCCCUAAUUGACCCUAAAACUUCUGAUUUGAUGCAAUUUAGUCCCGGCAUAACUUCAUCUUCGGCCACAGAGUUACGCGCCUUUUGCAAUAUGGUCCUUGGUCUCGGAUUUAUGCAAUUUCAUCCCUAAUUGACCAUUAAACUUUCAAUUUCUUCAAUUAGGCCCCUGAACCGAAUAAUUACAGCCCCUCCAUUUACGCGCCUCUUCCAAUUUGGUCCCUGGUUUCGGAUUUUCUCAAUUAAGUCCCCAAUUGGCCCUUAAACUUCAAUAUUUAUGCAAUUAAGCCCCUGAUUUGACCUAAUAAAUUUCUAAAAAUUAUAAUUUGGCCCCAGAACUUUAAUUUCUUCCAAUUAAAGCCUAAAUUAACUUAAAACUCAAUUUUCCUUGCAAUCAAAACCUCUACAAAUUCAAAUAAACCUUCAAUAAAAUCCAAUUGAGUCCAUAAACAUCCAAUUUUGGGCUUUUCUCCUCAAAUUUCAAAUUUUCCUUCUCAACAGGGCUCUCCUCCCUCAAGAAUAUACUGUCAAAAAUCCAAUCUUUGUAUUUUUAACCUCAUUGACCAAUUUUCCAACCAUUUUCUGAGCGUUUCUGCCUCCUGUUAUUUUUCUAACCUCCUUUGGCUAUAUAUUUUUAUAUAUAUUUUGUGGGGACCCAAAAAUGGGUUACAACAACACAGAUGGGUGAUUCUGUUCGACUUGUACCUCCAGUGAAACUGGAACCCCGGGGCCAGAGAAGCCUCUUUGAGAAUACCCCCUAGACCUUCCAUGGCGAGAACAAAUAAAUAAGGAGAUGUGGGUCCCCCUGCCUUAUGCCUCUACUGGACUUGAAGAACACGUAGGACUCACCAUUUAGGCCAACAGAGAAAUGAGCCGUGGAUAUACAUGUAUAUAUACAGUUAACCAUGCACUCUGACAUACAUAUGGCUCUGAGACCCUUCAGGAUAUACUCCCAGCUAACCAUGUCAAAAGCUUUCCUGAGAUCCACUUUAAGGGCACAUUUGGGUGGUCCAUUGUCCAGAUGAUAGUUGUGCAUUAUUUCUUGGGUGAGAAGAAUAUUAUCUGAAAUCUGUCUACCUGGAACAAAAGCAGAUUGGGAGUGGUUUAUCACGUCCGGGAGUAUAGUUUUCAGCCUAGCCGCCAAGACUUUUGAAAUGCAUUUAUAAAUGACAUUGCGGCAAGAGAUAGGCCUAAAAUCAUCCAUGCAGGAAGGGUUUUCAACUUUCGGCACCAAUGCAAUCCUGGUUGCAUUUAUGCAUUUAUACAGCGUUUGAAGAAAGUUGAUGUGAAACCAUCUGGGCCAGGGGCUUUGCUGUCCGAAAUGGAGAAUAAAGGUCCAGAAACUCACUUCUAUCUGCCCAGAAAUUUAAGAACUUGAAGGGAGAUGGGGGACGUGGCUCAGGAGUGCUAAAUUCCAGGAUCAUUGAACUGUGAUCUGAAUAAUCCCUUGGAAGGAAAAUUGAGUGAGUUGUUGGCCAAGUGGAGAGAAAAUAUUGGUUACUGAAUAUCCAAUCCAGUUUCUUCAUGAUGGCAUUGACUCCUUGCUGACCAUUGUGCCACGUAAAAUUCAUUCGUGUGUAAGGUAUCUGAACCAACUCCGAAUCUUGGAUGCAGUUACCAAACGCAUCUUGGUGACCAUACCAGCAAGUAUCACCCCCUAUCCUAUUACUGGACCUGAGGAUAGCAUUGAAGUCUCCCAAAAUGAUCCAGGGGAAGGAGGAAAACAGAGGUGCUUGAUGUUUCAUAUAAGUCCACAGCAAUUCUCGUCCAGCAGGAGUAUUAAGACCAUAUACAAAAGUAACCCUGAAAGCAGUAUUUGUGGCAAGUGUGGUUACAUCACAUGUCACCCAUUGAUCUGAGCUGUGUAGACAAGAAAUGCAAAAAAUAGCCGGGUCCCAACCCACCAUCACCCGACAGCUAGGGGAGGAAUUAACAUUUGAAAGGAAAUUCCAAGCAGGUAGCUGUAACUUUGUGACAACAGCCUCCAUGUUUACUGAUACAACCUUAGUUUCCAGCAGGCCAAUGAUACCCAGCCUAUGAUGUAUUGUCCAAUCUCGUAUAAUUUUUUGUUUUUGAGGGCUGUUAAGACCCCAUAUAUUCCAACAACCUACUUUAUACAUAAAUAAAUGAAAUAAAGAAACAGAGCAUAGUUAUAUAAUAGUAAAAGGCCCUAAGGCCUUUCGCUGCUUCUUCCCCUUUUUUUUCUUAGAUUUUGGUGAGGAUGGGAGAGUGAUACCUUGAUGGAGAGAUGAAAUAUCGAGGAGGGUGCCAGUGGCAGAGGUGGAGGACUCACUGCCACUUUCUAUAGAUGCCAUUUUGCUCUCCACACAAUUAGCAAAUCCAGUGAUGAGGUGUUGACUUUCCUCUACAGAAAGAGGAUCACAUGCGGAGUCUUGGUCUGAACCGUCAUCCACCUCCUCAGGUAUAAACUCUAGUACAGGUCCUUGGCGUAGAGUUGUGCUAACUUGCGGCUGAGUUUGCUUAUGGGAAGGUAUAGUACUUCUACUACUUUGUAGUGAUAGUAGAGGGGGCUGCAUGACUUGUGCUUCUGGCAAACCUUGAUGCAAGCUGGAUUCAGUAGCUCUUGAGGGUGCAACUCCUUCUGGCUCUAUGAUAGGUGGAGGUAGAGAAAUGAUCGGCUUAUCGUGUGGGAUGGUUGAAGGAUGUGGUUGCACCGCCAAUGAUUGAGAUACAACUUGAGUACUUGUUGAAGGAUCGGUAGGAGAAAUGGCUUUAUGCUGGGCAGCUGGUUGCAAGUGAGUAGGCAUCGCUGAAGAUGCUUUGUCUUUGUCUGCUGUAAUGGGAGCAAUGGCUUUGCGUGGGGCCGCUGGUUGCAUUUGAGCAGGCAUAACUGAAUCUUUGCCUUUAUCCGAUGCAGUGGGUGGUAGUUUGGAGCAAGAAUGACCGAAUACCUUACAUUUGUCACAGCUUGGAGGCUUCCAUUCAUACUCCACAGUAACAGUAAUUGGUGCAGUGGAAAGGGGACUCUCAAUCUCAAAACUGUGGAUGAAAGGCAAAGUAGCGUUAACUUCAACACACAGUCUGGCAUACUCUAGGCGAGUACAACUGUAGGUAAGUUCAUCACAGGAUAGUGGCCGGCCAACCAUGCUUGCUGCCAAACUGAGUCCCUGCUUGGACCAUAAAGGGAAGGGCAACCCAUGAAGUCUAACCCAUACUGGAAGGGUGGCAAUCUUGUUUUUAUCGAAAUGAAACCGUGGGUGCCAUUGUUGGAGGAUGAUAUUUUUACCUCCAAACAUCCAUGGCCCCUUCUCAAGAACAGCUUGCAUCUUUUCUUCAGUGGUGAAACGGAAUAUCAUAAAUCCAUUAGCAGUUGUCAUAACAUUCUCUAGUCCAUAUUGACGCCACGCCCUGGAGGCAAUUGAAUUAACAACAUGGAAUGGCAUUCGGAAUCCUGGGAAGAAGCCUAUCAUGCAACGGUUCCAUUGGUCAUAAUUUUCCAAAAGGAUUUCUUCUGUGACUUUGAGGUUGUGACCGAUUGGUUGUCGGGGAAGGUGCUCUAGGGUGAAUCUAGUACUAGAGUCAGAGACUCUAACUUUGUCAGCCCAUGAGUUUUGAGUGGCAGCCGGUUGAGGUUUGUGAACAUGAGGCUUAGAUUUCAGCAUGAUUUGAUGUGGGAAGUAAGGUGUUUUAUGGAUCUGAGUAAUGAAAGGAGGCGAGACUAGGUAUUGUUGGAGGGUAGUGGGGACGGUGUAUAUUAGUUUUCAAGCACGAGGAUAAGAAUCUGUUCGGUCAAAAUAUAGAAGAGAUGUUGGGGAAGAAGGUGGUGGGUGUUGUAACCCAUUUUUGGAUCCCCACAAAAAUAAAAAAAUAAAAAGAAAAAACCACAAUAGUGUAGUUCCUCCCAUGUGCAUGCCGCUGCCUGAGACCCUCAGGAGUGGGGAGCAGCGGAGUGGGGAGCAGCGCAGGCUGCCCUGGCUUGGUGUCCCCUGCUCCCCAUGCGCACGCUGCUGCCCCGCUCCACUUGUGCCUAAUUUACCAGGGAGAGUUUUUUUGAAAAGGGGAGAGAGGGCUGGAAAACUAAAGGAGGGGGAAAGUUUUGAAGGGGAAAGUUUUGAACGAAAGGGAUGGCAGUUAAAGGAGGAAAACAGAGGGGAAGAGAAGAACGGUAACCUCUCCGUUUGGAAGCACACCGCCACCUUCCUGACCACCGUGAGGCAUCGUCGGCUUCCUCCCAACACCACCAGAUUCUCUUAAGACCAGCCUUCCCCGAACUCCACAGCAGCAGCAACCAUUUUCUUCUCAGCAGAGCCAAGACGGGAAGCACGGGGAAGAAGACAAGCACGGGGAAGAAGACCAGAGACCAAAUGGAUGAGGAAGAAUACAACAGGGACGAGCAGAAGGAGAGAAGAUAAACAGAAGAAACCACAGAAGGACCAGCCAGCAGCCGCAGCGCCAUCGUCAGCUCAUCAUCUCCUUCAGCCCAGCAGCCACACCAGGAGGAAGAGCAGCCGCAGCAACGCCAGGAGGAAGAGCAGCUAGCAGCACCACCUGUGCUGAACCAUGGCAAGCCACUCGCCCAGCUGUAACCUCCUCCGCAGCCAUAUCCUUCCUCAGCUUCAGUAGCAGAACCAGCCGAAGCUGCACCUUGUCUCAGCCGCAGUAGCCGAAUCAGCAGAAGCCCUCCUUCCCUUCCAGCAACACGAGAACAGAGUGAGUUUUUCUCCUUCAUCCUUUCGUUACUGUGAGAAAGGAAAACAGAACGGAGGAGAGGGAGAGAAGAGAAACGGAAGCAAAACAAAGACGCAAGAUAGCAGAAGGCGAACGCAGACAGUGAGGACUGAAGAAAUUAAACUGGUUUCGCCAGCAGACCAGGAGCAGGUAUUAGGCAAAGCAGCAACCAACAGGAAAACGGAGAAAGAGCAAGAGAAUACAGAGGGAAGAACAUCCAUUCCGCAGCGCCAUCGUCAGCUCACCAUUUCCUUCGGUCCAGCAGCACCAGGAGAAGAGCAGCAGCAGCAACACCAGGAGUCGCACCAGCGCUGCCAACGACCUCAUCAUCUCCUCCAUCCCAGCAGCAGCAGCACCACCAGGAGGAAAGGCAGCCGCAGCAACACCAGAGAGGAGGAAGAGCAGUGGCAGCAACACCACCAACCGCACCAGCUCAUCAUUCCUUCAUCCCAACAGCCACACCAGAGGAGGAAGAGCAGUCGCAACAACAACACCAACCGCACCAGCUCAUCAUCUCUUUCGGGCUUUGCUUUCAUUUUUUUACAUAUAACACUUGCAGAACAGAGGAGAAGAAAGAGCAGAAAACCGAGGAGAGAGAGUGACAAAGACGUAGAGGAAAGGAAAAAACAGGGAAACCGACGCCAACAUAGGACAGGAGGGAAAGACUGGGAACGGACGAACGCAGACAGCUUCUUCAUCUCCAGGUUUGUUCUCUUCAUCUUGUGUGCGCAGUGGUUUUCUUUGCAUUUACACUGUUCAAGUGAGUUUUAAUUCACUUGAACAGUAACAGGUUCUCUUUGCCUGCAUUUCACCGCACUGUUCAAGUGAAUUAAUUCACUUGAACAGUUAAUCCGCCUACUUUGAUUGAACUGUAACCUCCCGCACUGUGUAAUUUUUUGCUUUGUGUUUGCACUGUUCAAUGAAAUUUAAUUCACUUGAACAGUAACGUGGUCUUUUGCAUGCAGUUUGCUUUGUUAAUAUGUGAAAACGGGUUACUGUGCAUGUGCACAGUAACUGGAAAAUUAAUUAACGUGUUACUGUGUAGAGGAACAGUAACACGGUUACUGUACAGUGAACAGUAACCAGUCAUGUGGUUUGGGCUGGGCUGAGUCCAGCCCUGUAGAAAGUAGGCCCAUUUUAUUUUUGGGCUGAUUUCGGCCCAUUUUCCUUUUGGGCCGGGUUUGGCCCAUUCAAAAAGUUUUCUUCAAAGAUGUAUUUAAAAAAUCUGUGAUUUUCUGCAAGGUUGUAUUUUUGUACUAUAAAGAUACAAGUCCGGUAUGAAAAUACCCGAUUUUAGUCGAGACAUCAAAAAAAAAUAUAAAAUGAAAAAAUGUUUUGUUUUCUUGCAUACGGCCAAUACCCUAACAUUGUUUUUAUGUUUUUUUUAUAUAAAAAACAAAUAUUUGAAGCUUUGAAAAUGUGUUUUCGCAUGAAUUUCUUAAACACAACAAAAAUCAUUUUUCUUGCAUUUCUGGAUUUUACAACAUGUUUGUAAAACUCCAAAGGGUAUUGGCCAAUAUUCCAAAAAAUAUAAAAAUCUUAUUUUGGGGGAAUUCAUCUAUUAUUCACCGCUAAUGUUUGGAUAAAGAAAUCCUUAAAGGACGAAUAUCCAAAAUAUUAUUGGGAAUAAUUUGUUAUUAUUCACUGUUAAUAUUUGGAUAAAGAAACCCGGAGUGGUAAAUAUCCAAAAUAAUUUUCUAGGAAUAAUAAAUCCGCACAAAUCCAUGAAAGAAGCCUUGAUUAUAAUCGAGGACAUUUCAAUUUUUUUUUACUCCACGGUUUACGAGACGAAAAAAUAGGUUUUUAAAGCACCCUAGAUUUCGUUCAUCAGAGCAGACUUAUCCUAGGAAACUGAUGGGAUUAGAGAACAUCAACACCAUAACAUUUAUAAGGCAAAUCAAACACCAAGCAGCUUACCUUAGGUAGGGCGUACUAGGGGUGCUAAAACCUUCCCUUUACGCAACCAGUCCCUUGCCUUAGAAUCUCUGAAAGACCAGUUAGGUUUCCUAGUGACCAUAAUACUAGGUGGCGACUCACUUUUUCACAACAGAAAGACCCCAAUAUCAAUCCCCGCUACGGAGGAAGUGUCGCCGCGACGUCGAGCUCUCGGGAGGGUGCGACAGUGGGUAUGCAAAAGAAGAUGGUAAACAAUGGUGGUCAGUACAGGAUCUGCAAGUCUUCUUCCUCCAAGUCACCAAAGGCAGCUGCGCUCUCUCCAUUUUUUUAUUUUUUUUCCCUCCCUAAACCCUAAACCCUAAACCCUAAAAAUCCUAAACCCUAAACCCUAAAAACCCCAAACCCCAAACACCAAACCACAAACCCUUAAACCCCAAACCCCAAACCCUAAACCCUAAAAACCCUAAACCCUAAACCCUAAAAACCCUAAACCCUAAACCCUAAAAACCCUAAAAAUGCUAAACCCUAAACCCUAAACCCUAAACCCUAAACCCUAAAAACCCUAAACCCUCAACCCUUAACCUUAAACCCUAAAAACCGUAAAAACCCUAAACCCUAAACCCUAUACCCUAAACCCUAAAAACCAUAAACCCUAUACCCUAAACCCUAAACCCUAAAACCCUAAAAACCCUAAACCCUAAACCCUAAAACCCAAACCCUAAAACCCAAAAAACCCUAAACCCUAAACCCUAAAAACCCUAAACCCUAUACCAUAUACCCUAAACCCUAAACCCUAACAACCCUAAACCCUAAACCCUAAACCCUAAAUCAUAAACCCCAACCCCAACCCCAAACCCAAACCCAAACCCUAAACCCUAAACCCCAAACCCCAAACCCCAAACCCCCAAACCCUAAACCCUAAACUUUUUUUUUUGGAAUAAAGUUAAGUUGUAUUGAUCCAAAAAAGUACAUGACACGAAAGGCAUACCCCAAGUAUUACAAAGGACCUGGAAGGUCAACAAAAAGGAAACAAGCUUGUACAUCGAAAGAAAACAUACAAAGCAGCAUAAACCGUUCAGGCGGUUGAUAUAGAAAUAAUCUAAACUCAGGUAAUAUCACCGCUCAACUGGAAGGUAAAAAAGAUGGUGCCACUCGAUGAGUCGCUGCCCGAGUUUUUAUCUCGGGGAUAUCCUUCUUCUUUUUCCUCCUGGUAACAAGUGUAAAUCCAGUGUCAUCACAUCCAACAGAUUGUGCAGCAAGUAGAGAUUCUGGAGGACGUGCUCGAGAUGGUGUCAUCUUAGGUAAAUCUGUGGUAGGUACCCUAGAUGAAAAACUGGUUUCAGAAGAAGAUGGCAAAGACAUUUGCUUACUAGUAGUGCACACAGGCAAUUCUAGUGGCGAUGUCCUAACAUGGUCGUUUGUGGACAGUGGAGGAGUUAUCGAUUUAACAUCACCAAGAUUAGAUGGCUUCAGCUGACUCUCAGCUGAGGAAUCAGAGGCUGACUCAUCUGAGGAAUCUGUAUCUAUCUCAGCUGAGGAAUCUGAGUCUUCAAAGGACAUCUCAUCUGUGUUUGUGGCGGGGGAGGUAAUGGCAUUACCUUUACCCUGAUGACUUGGAGAGACAUCACCGUUAACCUGCUUAUCACCUGUGUCUGUGGCAGGUGAGGCAUUACCUUUAUCCUGAUGACUAGGAGAGGCAUCACUGUUAACCUGCUUAUCAGCUGAAGGUUGACAUGAGUGACCAAAAAUGUGGCACUUUUCACAUCUCUUCGGCUUCUAUUCAUAGUUCACAUGAACUUCUCUGAUAGUAGUGGAGAACUCAAGUUCGAUGCAUCUACCUCCACACACAACCGCGCGUAAUCUAAGCGCUUACAUCCAAGUGUCAACUCAUCACAAGAGAGUGGUUGGCCCACCAUACUGGCUACCUCACUUAAACCCUUCUUUGUCCAUAAAGGAAAAGGUAGAUCAUAUAUCUGAAUCCAUACUGGAAGUUUGGUGUUCUUGUUCAUGUCGAAGACAAACCCAGAAUGCCAUUUCUGAAGAAUAAUAGCUUUCCCACCAAACAUCCAAGGACCAUUUUCAAUGACCUUUUGUAGCUCAUCUUCUGUUUUGAAACGAAACAUUGUAAAUCCAUUGGCCAAGGAUGUCACAUCCUCAAGGCCAAACCUCUUCCAUAUCCUGUGAGCAAUUGAAUUCAUAGCAGAAUAAGGAAGCUUAAAACCAGGAAAAAAACCUACUAGGCAACGAUGCCAUACCGCAGAAGACUUCUCCCAUAAUCCCUUAGUCAUUUAGAGACGAGAGCCAACCGGCUUCCGAGGGAUGGGGUCAAGAGUGCAUCGAGUGUGAGAGUCGAUAACUCUUAUCUUAUCAGCCCAAAAACUCGAGGGGGGAGUGGGUCGGGUAGAGGUUGGGGAGGCUGUGUUUUGGGUGUUUUGGUGUUGGUUUGUGGGAUGUUUAGUGGUUGAGGGGGUGGUGUUGGCUUUGGGUGUUUGGGUUUUCGGAUUGGAAGUCAUGGCAGAUUCUGGCAUAGCUUCAAACAACAAUUAUUUACCAACAAUUCAAACAAUAACAAAUCCCAACAUAUCAAAGGUAACCACACAUGUUAUGCAGAACAUAUACAAAAACCAGCACAAGUUAACGGUUGGAUCUCCACUGAUCUCCAAUAUACCGAAACUGACCUGAUAUUGACGACCUUCUGUUAAACAUGUAUAAAACGUUGCCGGAGGAUUUAUUUGUAAUCUCCACCGUUCAGACUGUGUAUCACAACCAGGUGCAUUAUAUAUCCAAAAAUAAGCUUGAUCCAACGGUAGAUAAAAGAGAAUAGGCCGGCAGCUCUGACUGUUCCGAGAGGGAUUUUUCCAGAACUCUUCAAAUGGAUAGAUUUCACAGGAGGAAUCAAAUAUGGACGAUCCCUCUGGUCAAAAUAUAGGCAACAUAGAGGCGCACAACAUACCAAACAAUAGGGUUGAUCCAACGGUAGAACAAGGAGAAAUCGGCCGGCGACUCCGACAGAUCUAGAGGGUUUCCAGAAAAUUUCAAACGGUCAGAAUGUAGACAAUAGUGAGGUGCACAACAUAACCAAAUCUUGGCCUGAUCCAACGAUGGUCGCCGGAGAUAUGGCUGUCGAAGCACCGCCCCUUUGUAUCUUUCCUCUCUAACCUCUCUCUAGCUUCUCUCUCUAGAAGAACACAAAUGA
rnacentral:lncRNA from 1 species